rnacentral:rRNA from 1 species
UGUCAAAAUCCAAAACGGAGGAAAAGAAAAUAACAAUGAGUUCCCCUAGUAGCGGCGAGUGAACAGGGAAAAGCUCACAGUUGGAACCUAGCUGCCUUAGGUAGUUCGGAUUGUAAACUGAAAAAGUGUUAUCCAGGCUAGCCGAGUAAAUAAGUUUCUUGGAACAGAACAUCAUGGAGGGUGAGAAUCCCGUCUUUGGCUUGAGCAUAGUCUUUUGUGUUGCACUUUAACGAGUCAGGUUGUUUGGGAAUGCAGCCUAAAGUGGGAGGUAAAUCCCUCCUAAAGCUAAAUAUUGGCGAGAGACCGAUAGCAAACAAGUACCGUGAGGGAAAGAUGAAAAGAACUUUGAAAAGAGAGUUAAACAGUAUGUGAAAUUGCUAAAAGGGAAGCGUUUGAAGACAGACUAGCUUGGUUAUAAUCAGCCUGGAUUUUUCUUGGUGUACUUGUAGCCUAUGCUUGUCAACAGCAGUUUGGUUUGGCUGAAAAAACUGAUAGUAAGGUGGCUCUCUUCGGGGAGUGUUAUAGACUGUUAGAAAAUCAGUUGGACUGGACUGAGGAAUGCAAUGCAGCUUGCCUUGGGGUGAACCAGAUUGGAUAGGAACCAUUGUUCUUUGAAGGUUUGGGUAGCUCUUCGAACUGUAUUUAGGUUGUUGGCUUAAUCCGAUCUUUAAACGGCCCGUCUG